UGGGGAAUUUUGGACAAUGGGCGAAAGCCUGAUCCAGCCAUUCCGCGUGAGUGAAGAAGGCCUUCGGGUUGUAAAGCUCUUUCGCAAGGGAAGAAACGAUGCAGUCGAAUAAACUGUGUUAAUGACGGUACCUUGAUAAGAAGCACCGGCUAACUACGUGCCAGCAGCCGCGGUAAUACGUAGGGUGCAAGCGUUAAUCGGAAUUACUGGGCGUAAAGCGUGCGCAGGCGGUUUUGUAAGUCAGAUGUGAAAUCCCCGAGCUCAACUUGGGAACUGCGUUUGAAACUACAAGACUAGAAUAUGUCAGAGGGGGGUAGAAUUCCACGUGUAGCAGUGAAAUGCGUAGAGAUGUGGAGGAAUACCAAUGGCGAAGGCAGCCCCCUGGGAUAAUAUUGACGCUCAUGCACGAAAGCGUGGGGAGCAAACA
rnacentral:rRNA from 2 species